AAAAAAAAAGUCAUCGAAAAUGUGCUUUAAAAAAACAAACAUAAAACUGGUCCUUGAACCCUGUUGGAUAUCAGCGUUCUGAGGCCAAGGUCUAACGGGAGCAGAAGGUUGUAGGGAGGAGAUAACUUCCCUUCCCGGUGGAUCCAGCCUCUCCUUUAGCUAGCACAUUAUCCGUUCCAGUUUCCUUUUUCUUGAGCUUCAUCUCGUUUAAGCAGCUCUGAUGAGUGCUGGCUGUCUCUCUUGUUGCCGGGUGUUAAUAGAGUGCAGAGCAGGUGAAAAUCUCGGGGACAUUGGACAUGGUCCGCGAACACGUAAGCGCAGCCUGGAGUUUGGAAAAGCCGCAUAGAAUGCUGGCACCGUGUUAGCUUCUGGAUAUAGAGCAACAGCAAAAUGAACACAGCCCCCGCCUUAUUGUUCGUACAGCUCAGCUCUGCACGGGAAGACAGACAAGAAACAGCACCCACUUGCAAUUAAAUACAACAGUAAUUAAAAUCUCUAAAUUCACUCAGAAUGACUGUCCCAUCGGUCACAUCCAGAAAGCCUUCAAAUGUCAUUGUGAAAAGAAUGUCUUCUCAGAGAUGCCAGGUGCUAAGACAGAGGCAGGAGUGGUAUUGGAAUUGGAUCAAGGUGAUAGACCGAACGCAGAUGACUGCCAGAUUUUUAGGACAACAGGGAUAAACCCAACAAGCACAAGAAACUAGGAGAAAGAAACAUACACCAGAGAAAAACUCUAUGAAGAGUAAAAGAGAACGCAAGACCCUCCACACAGAUUGGAGAAAUACGAAGACUGGGAGGGGGGCCUUGGCUCCAUCAAUACGUGCUUAUACGUGAUUAAUAGUUCACAAGCAGUGUUAACAUUUCCUUGGCCGUUUUGUAUAUUCCUGUGUAAAUGUACAUACAUAUACAUGAAUAUUUAUGUAUUCUAUUAUUGGGUUAUUGGAGUCACGCUCCUACUAAGGUUUAGAGUUUGCAGUCAGGGAAGCUGAGGGGAGACCUUCAAGGUCACCAGGGAUAAGGACUGGGUAAUAUCCACGGGGUUUGGCAAAGAAAGAGUUAAGCUGGUAGGCUUGUGUGGAACAGCUCUGGAGGGCUCGCUGGAAAAGAGUCCUGGCUCCCAACAUGGGAGAUGAGGGAGAACAGAGAGCGCUGUAGCUAGAGGAGGGGCUGCGUGGCACGAGCGACUUGACUUGUAAGCUGAGAAAAGCUUGAAUGUGUUAUGUAGACGGUGCCCAUGCGUGUCAACAUCUGGAAGAACGAGGAGAGUCACUAAGAGCUCAGUGGUCGGGGACAAGUCAAGGCAGAGCCAGAAAGUUCUUUGAACGUGCCGAAGCAAAUGGGGAAGGAGUCCUGGAAGGAAUUGCCUUAGACACCACCAAAAUGACUUCAGCAACACGUUCUCCUGCCUUCUCACUAACAAGAAACAGUGGCACACACAGCACUUAGUAACUUCCACGAGCGAUGGCAGGAGAUGGCCUCCAGCU